AAAACUUUCAACAACGGAUCUCUUGGUUCUGGCAUCGAUGAAGAACGCAGCGAAAAUGCGAUAAGUAAUGCGAAUUGCAGAAUUCCGUGAGUCAUCGAAUCUUUGAACGCACAUUGCGCCCUUUGGUAUUCCGAAGGGCAUGCCUGUUCGAGCGUCAUU
rnacentral:rRNA from 1 species